AAAAAAAAAAGAUCGUAUUUUUCUCUGUUUUUUUUUCUAUUUGAAGAAUUUCUCUCGAUCAAUCUUGUUUCAAUUACUCGUCGAUUAGGUUUUGAUGGUACUUCAGCGAUGCUUAGUUUGGCGUGAAUCUGCUACCGUCAUCUGAGUUUCUUCUCCUCCUCGUGGUGAUUUUGGGUUUCUAAGAAGCUUCUCUCCUCCGCUUGAAACCGUCGUUAAGAUUCUAUUUGGGGACAUUGUCCCGAACAAUAUUGUGAACGGAAUUGGAUGGGUAGUGCAUGCAUGUUGCGAGAUGGAAAAACACUCUUGAUCGGUUUCGAUUUGUUUGAUGGGAAUGACCAAAGCUUGAAUGAAUAAAACAAGAAUUUGACCGACCAUUUGUUAAGAAAUAUCAUAAAGACUGAAAGACAUAGAAAGAGUCGGAGACUUUGGGAUGGAUGGAAAGAGUCGGAGACUUUGGGUGGAUGGAAAGAGUCCGAGGCUUUGGGUUAGAUGGCAAAAAUGACUUACCUUGAUGGAAAUAGUCUGAAACUUGGGUUGUGGAUAAAUGACCGACCAUUUGUUGAUGGAAAUAGACCAAAGACUUAAAAAAGAGAGGCAUAAGACAAAAGUACUUGACAGAGUACUAUGGUCCGAUUAAUUGUUGGAUGGUAGAAACGACCAACAUCUUGACGAAGUCUUGAGGUAAAGAUACUUGACAAACCUAUGAAGCGUUUUAAAACAUGUUGGAUGGUAUAAACGACCAACAGCUUCAAAUAAAGACCGUGGAUGGGUUGAAGCUUGUUGGAUGGUAAAAGCGACCAACAGUUUCUAGAUAAAGACUGACCCUAAAACUUAAAGACCCACGGCAUAAAGAAGUUAUAAGAUUAUGAAGCAGCUAUCCACGGCUUAGAAAAAUCAUAAAGACAUAGAAAGAAAAGAAUCAAAGACUUUGGGUUGGAUGGUAAAAAGACCAACCAUUUAUUGAAUGGGAAAAUAGACCAACGGCUUAAAAAAAGAGACAUAAGACAAAAGGACUUGACAAAGUACUAUGGUCUGAUUAAUUGUUGGAUGGUAAAAACGACCAACAUCUUGGGGUUAAGAUAGAGAUAGUUGACAAACCUAUGAAGCUUUAGAACUUGUUGGAUGGUAAAAACGACCAACAGCUUCGGAUAAAGACGGGAGGGAUUGAAACUUGUUGGAUGGUUAAAACGACCAACCGCUUCAGAUAAAGACAUGCCCCGAAACUAAAAGACUCAUGGCUUAAAGAAGUCAAAAGAUUAUGAAGCAGCUACCCACGGCUUAAAGAAAUAAGACAAAGAUACUUGACAAUGAUGAUGAAGCAGUUAUGGCUUUGUUGGAUGGUAAAAACGACCAACAGCUUCAGAUAAAGACUUUCCCCAAAACUAAAAGACCCAUGGCUUCAAGAAUACAAAAGAUAUGAAGCAGCUAUCCACGGCUUAAAGAAAUAAGACAGAGAUACUUGAAAAUGAUGAUGAAGCAGUUAUGAAUAUGUUGGAUGGUGAAAGACGACUAACAGCUUCAGAGAAAGAGGUUAAGGAAAAAAAAUAUUAAAACAGGUUGGAUGGUAAAACGACCAACACCUUAAGAGAAAGAGGUUAAGAAAUUCAUAAGACAUAGAUACUUGACAAAGAAAGAAAAAGAGAUUAAGACAUGUUGGAUGGUAGAAACGACCAACAAUAAGACAUGUUGGAUGGUAAAAUGACCAACACCUUAAGAGAAAGAGGUUAAGAAAUUCAUAAGACAUAGAUACUUGACAAAGAAAGAAAAAGAGAUUAAGACAUGUUGGAUGGUAGAAACGACCAACACCUUAAGAGAAAGAGGUUAAGAAAUUCAUAAGAGUAUAAGACAGAGAUACUUGACAAAGACAAUGGAGCAGUUAGAACUUGUUGGAUGGUAAAAAACGACCAACAACUUCAGAUAAAGACUAGAGGGAUAGAGACUUGUUGGAUGGUUAAACCGACCAACCGCUUCAGAUAAAGACAUGCCCCGAAACGAAAAAGUCUCAUGGCUUAAGGAAGUCAAAAGAUUAUGAAGCAGCUAUCCACUGCUUAAAGAAAUAAGACAAGGAUACUUGAAAAUGAUGAUGAAGCAGUUAUGACUAUGUUGGAUGGUAAACAACGACCAACAGCUUCAGAGAAAGAGGUUAAAAAAAAGAAGAGAUUAAGACAAGUUGGAUGGUAAAAACGACCAACAGUAAGACUUGUUGGAUGGUAAAAAACGACCAACACCUUGAGAGAAAGAGGUUAAGAAAGUCACAAGACAUAGAUACUUGACAAAGAAAGAAAAAGAGAUUAAGACAUGUUGGAUGGUAGAAACGACCAAUAAUUAGAGUUGUUGGAUUGUAGAAACGACCACACCUUAAGAGAAAGAGGUUAAGAAAGCCAUAAGACAAAGAAAGAGGUAAGUAUCCAAUAUUUACGUUAAAUCAAGACUAACCAAAUUUUUUAAUUUCCGCAGGUUAUGUGCUUCUGAAGGUGUUCAAAUUGAUAGACUUUGAGGACAUCUAAA